ACCCCUGUGAGAAUGCCCUAACAGUUCUCUGCCCGAGAACAAGGAGCUGGUAUCAGGCACACCCGUGUAGCCCAUGACACCUUGUUUAGCCACACCCCCAAGGGAACUCAGCAGUGAUAGACUUUGAGCCAUAAGUGAAAACUUGACUUAGUCAAGGCUAAGAGGGCCGGUAAAACUCGUGCCAGCCACCGCGGUUAUACGAAUGACCCAAGUUGACAGACUCCGGCGUAAAGAGUGGUUAAGAUAAAUUGAAGACUAAAGCCGAACCCCCGCAAAGCUGUUAUACGCUCCCGCGGGCAAGAAGCUCAAUCACGAAAGUGGCUUUACACCAUCUGAACCCACGAAAGCUAUGGAACAAACUGGGAUUAGAUACCCCACUAUGCCUAGCCCUAAACAUUGACAGUACACUACAUUUAACUAUCCGCCCGGGUACUACGAGCAUCAGCUUGAAACCCAAAGGACUUGGCGGUGCUUUAGAUCCACCUAGAGGAGCCUGUUCUAGAACCGACAACCCCCGUUCAACCUCACCCUUCCUUGUUUUUCCCGCCUAUAUACCACCGUCGUCAGCUUACCCUGUGAAGGACUAAUAGUAAGCAAAAUUGGCACAGCCCAGAACGUCAGGUCGAGGUGUAGCGUAUGGAGGGGGAAGAAAUGGGCUACAUUCUUUAGUACAGAGAAUACGAAUGAUAUACUGAAACACAUAUCUGAAGGAGGAUUUAGUAGUAAGCAGGAAAUAGAGCGUCCCGCUGAAAUCGGCCCUUAAGCGCGCACAUACCGCCCGUCACUCUCUCCAAGCCCUACAGAUUUAAUUAACUAAAACCCCACUGACCGCGAAGGGGAGGCAAGUCGUAACAUGGUAAGUGUACCGGAAGGUGCACUUGGAAUAAU
rnacentral:ncRNA from 1 species